AUUGAACGCUGGCGGCAGGCCUAACACAUGCAAGUCGAGCGGAUGAAGGGAGCUUGCUCCUGGAUUCAGCGGCGGACGGGUGAGUAAUGCCUAGGAAUCUGCCUGGUAGUGGGGGAUAACGUCCGGAAACGGGCGCUAAUACCGCAUACGUCCUGAGGGCGUAAGUGGGGGAUCUUCGGACCUCACGCUAUCAGAUGAGCCUAGGUCGGAUUAGCUAGUUGGUGGGGUAAAGGCCUACCAAGGCGACGAUCCGUAACUGGUCUGAGAGGAUGAUCAGUCACACUGGAACUGAGACACGGUCCAGACUCCUACGGGAGGCAGCAGUGGGGAAUAUUGGACAAUGGGCGAAAGCCUGAUCCAGCCAUGCCGCGUGUGUGAAGAAGGUCUUCGGAUUGUAAAGCACUUUAAGUUGGGAGGAAGGGCAGUAAGUUAAUACCUUGCUGUUUUGACGUUACCAACAGAAUAAGCACCGGCUAACUUCGUG
rnacentral:rRNA from 1 species